rnacentral:tRNA from 1 species
AGCAGCGUGGCUCAGUGGAAAGAGCCCGGGCCUGGGAGUCAGAGGUCAUGGGUUCGAAUCCCGGCUCUGCCA